GAGUCUGCAUUUCUAACACGUUCCCAGGCGAUACUGCUGCCGCUUGUCCUGGACUCACACUCUGAGAAGCGCUCCUUUAGAGGAGGGAAAGGUCAGCUUUGAUGGAGGGCAUCAAGGAAAGGGAAGGAGAGAAGCCCGGAGCUGAGAGAGGACCUGCCUCCACAGUGAGGGCUCUAGGCAGCCUGGGGCUCAAGCCAGGCCACUAGGGGCCUAGUGGAUUUUCCACAAUAGGGAGAGGAAAUAAACCAUAAACAACCUACUGGGCCAACUGCCCAACAACAGUAGCCAUGGGCCUGUCAACAGCCAGCCCCUAGGCCACUCGGCAGGAGACAGAUGUGAAGAUUGGCCCUGAGCUUACAUCUGUUCCCAUCUUCCUCUACUUUAUAUGUGGGACGCCUGCCACAGCAUGGUUUGAUAAGCAGUGUGUAGUUCCACAACCAAGAUCCAGGAUGGUGAACCUUGGGCCGCCAAUGCAAAGCACACAAACUUAACAGCUACGCGCCACCAGGCCAGCCCCUUGUUACUGAACCAGGUCCUUUCUAGAAGCGCCAGAUCAGAGGUUGAGUUUCCUGGAAGAAAUAUCAUAAAGUCUGAAAGGACACACCAGGGAAUCUUGAUUAUGGACCCUAUAGGGAAUGAAAUGAUAAGUUGAACCGUGGCAGGACAAACAUCAGCGCAGACAUGGUAGUCAGGCUGCAUGGAACAGCUGAGUCAGGACUGCCAGCACAUUCCUCCUCCAGAGCAGAGGUCGGCGUGGAAGUGACUGCUGAACCCAAGCUCUUUGGAUCAAGUUCAGUACCUAUAAAUAGGCCUACUGAUUUACAUUUUCUUUUGUUAACUACUUUAAAUUACAAAACAUUUUGUUUUUUAAAUGACCAUCCCAAUUCUCCUAAUUCUGGGAUAGACUUUGUAUAGAUAACACAUCUGUUGGACUCAGUAAGGCUGGAGGAGCCUUAGGAUAUGUAACUAACUGAGUUUGUGCCCCUUCCCUGGAUACCAGGAGGUCCCUUCUAUUGAAGUUUUCUGCUAAAAA
rnacentral:lncRNA from 1 species